UUGUGUAUAUUAUAAUUUAAUAUAAUAAGUUUAGGUCUUAUAGAUUUUUCACAAU
rnacentral:tRNA from 1 species